CAGUUCCAACCUGGGGUCUGGCAUGACCAUUCCAAGUACCCCGGCAGCGUUAACUCAGCCGUCCUCCGGCUGUCCCCGUAUGUCAACUACCAGUUCCGUGUCAUUGCCAUCAACGAGGUUGGGAGCAGCCACCCCAGCCUCCCGUCCGAGCGCUACCGAACCAGUGGAGCACCCCCCGAGUCCAAUCCUGGUGACGUGAAGGGAGAGGGGACCAGAAAGAACAACAUGGAGAUCACGUGGACGCCCAUGAAUGCCACCUCGGCCUUUGGCCCCAACCUGCGCUACAUUGUCAAGUGGAGGCGGAGAGAGACUCGAGAGGCCUGGAACAACGUCACAGUGUGGGGCUCUCGCUACGUGGUGGGGCAGACCCCGGUCUACGUGCCCUAUGAGAUCCGAGUCCAGGCUGAAAAUGACUUCGGGAAGGGCCCUGAGCCAGAGUCCGUCAUCGGUUACUCCGGAGAAGAUUAUCCCAGGGCUGCGCCCACUGAAGUUAAAGUCCGAGUCAUGAACAGCACAGCCAUCAGCCUUCAGUGGAACCGCGUCUACUCCGACACGGUCCAGGGCCAGCUCAGAGAGUACCGAGUGAGGAAGCCAGCUCCGGACUCACCUAACUACCCAGCUCACUAACCAGGGCCAGGGGUAGCAAAUGCGGGGCAUAAGAUAUUUGAAAGAAACCCUAGGGUUGUUUAUUGAAUCCAGGGUUGACUCAAGAAGAUAAUGUCUAGGGUUAGAUGUUCAAAAAUAUACCCAGAAAAAAAAAUUAUAUA
rnacentral:sRNA from 1 species